rnacentral:tRNA from 1 species
GGGCGCAUAGCUCAGUUGGUAGAGCACCUGCCUUACAAGCAGGCGGUCAUCGGUUCGAGUCCGGUUGCGCCCA